rnacentral:rRNA from 1 species
GACGAACGCUGGCGGCGUGCUUAACACAUGCAAGUCGAGCGGUAAGGCCCUUUCGGGGGUACGACGAGCGGCGAACGGGUGAGUAACACGUGGGUGACCUGCCCUUAGCUCUGGGAUAAGCCUGGGAAACUGGGUCUAAUACCGGAUAUGACUCCAUAACGCAUGUUGUGGGGUGGAAAGCCUUGUGCGGCUAGGGAUGGCCCGCGGCCUAUCAGCUUGUUGGUGGGGUGAUGGCCACCAAGGCGACGACGGGUAGCCGGCCUGAGAGGGCGACCGGCCACACUGGGGACUGAGACACGGCCCAGACUCCUACGGGAGGCAGCAGUGGGGAAUCUUGCGCAAUGGGCGAAAGCCUGACGCAGCGACGCCGCGUGGGGG